GACGAACGCUGGCGGCGUGCUUAACACAUGCAAGUCGAACGGAAAGGCCCCUUUGGGGGUACUCGAGUGGCGAACGGGUGAGUAACACGUGAGUAACCUGCCCUUGACUUCGGGAUAACUUCAGGAAACUGGGGCUAAUACCGGAUAGGAAUCCUUGCUGCAUGGUGGGGGUUGGAAAGCUUCGGCGGUUUUGGAUGGACUCGCGGCUUAUCAGCUUGUUGGUGGGGUAGUGGCUUACCAAGGCUUUGACGGGUAGCCGGCCUGAGAGGGCGACCGGCCACAUUGGGACUGGGAUACGGCCCAGACUCCUACGGGAGGCAGCGGUGGGGAAUAUUGCACAAUGGGCGGAAGCCUGAUGCAGCAACGCCGCGGGCGGGAUGACGGCCUUCGGGUUGGAAACCGCUUUCAGCAGGGGCGAAGCUUGUGGUGACGGUACCUGCAGAAGAAGCACCGGCUAACUACGUG
rnacentral:rRNA from 1 species